GCUGAUGCAAAGAUGGACUGAGAUGCAUGUUUGGUGGACUGUAGGAUAUAUAUGCACCUGGGAUGCUGUAUACAACAGAUAUUAUUUGGUAGACUGAAUUAGAGCAUCUAUAGAUGCUCUUAGAACUUAAUUUCAUGGACAAAGAAAACAAGCAAAACAAAUCAAAUCUGAACCUGGUGCUGCUUCCUAGCGCAUUAUACAUGCUGAUGCUCUUCGUGGAUUAAACAAGUCGCACGCCGAGGACACUGUGCCGCAUGUCGGUAUAGUUGUAGCUCGUCGUGGUGUCCAUGGCAAGCACAUCGUGGUUGCCUCCGCGCGAGCUUCAAUCGCCACCGCACCCGUCCUCUCCAUGACGAUGUCGCGACACGCCGGGUGUUCCUGUCGAGCCGGCUCCUGCUGAGAACACGUCCGGCAGCCGGGAUUGAGCGCGGACAGACGGGCGGGCGGUGGUGUCGUAGCGGACGAGGAAUCUCGUUCCGGUGGCGGCGGCGCGUUGUGUGCUCGAUCUGAUCUGGUUCAGUUGGGAGAGAG
rnacentral:lncRNA from 1 species